CCUACGGGGGGCAGCAGUGAGGAAUAUUGGUCAAUGGACGAGAGUCUGAACCAGCCAAGUAGCGUGAAGGAUGACUGCCCUAUGGGUUGUAAACUUCUUUUAUAUGGGAAUAAAAUGUUCCACGUGUGGGAUUUUGUAUGUACCAUAUGAAUAAGGAUCGGCUAACUCCGUGCCAGCAGCCGCGGUAAUACGGAGGAUCCGAGCGUUAUCCGGAUUUAUUGGGUUUAAAGGGAGCGUAGGUGGAUUGUUAAGUCAGUUGUGAAAGUUUGCGGCUCAACCGUAAAAUUGCAGUUGAAACUGGCAGUCUUGAGUACAGUAGAGGUGGGCGGAAUGCGGGGUGUAGCGGUGAAAUGCUUAGAUAUCACGAAGAACUCCGAUUGCGAAGGCAGUUCACUGGACUGCAACUGACACUGAGGCUCGAAAGUGUGGGUAUCAAACAGGAUUAGAUACCCGAGUAGUC
rnacentral:rRNA from 1 species